AUGGCCGGGGAUACGGGCGGACCAACGAAGGAGGUGGCUCUAACGGUCCAGCCAAAUUUGACUGAAAGUCAAAAAAGUUCCAUGCGACUCGAUUAUAGUACUAGGUCCCAAGAAAUAGGGGAAAAUCAGCAGACUGAUAAUGUCAGUGAAUGCGAUUUUAGGGAGGCUGUGGACAAGGCUCGCUCUCUUGUUCUACUGCUCACCUCUCUUGCUGCCACCAUCACCUACGCAGCCGGGUUGGACCCGUCGGGUGGCCUGUGGCAGGAUAAUGGCAACGAGCACAUGACCGGCGACCCGAUCCUUCUCACGACGAACGCUAGGCGGUACAAGACCUUCUACUACUGCAACUCGGCUGCCUUGGUGACCUCCUUGGUGGCCAUCAUUCUUGUCCAAAAUAAGCUUAUGCUCAAGCACCACGUGUUGGAGGUAGCCAUGAUACUCGUCCUAUUUGGCCUCAUGGGCGCUUAUGCCGCCGGGAGCUGCUGGGACUUGGACACCUCCAUUUACGCCAUGGCCUUGGCCGGCGUGGUCCUUAUUUAUGUGGUGAUCCAUGUUCUCGUCUUCAUGCUGGACCACAAGGACAAACAAGGCGACGAAGAGUUGCUCGAGAAGAGGCACAAACGGUUGCUUCUCUUCGUGAUCUUGGCAGUGACCAUCACCUAUCAAGCGGGACUCACGCCUCCAGGCGGCUUCCUCCUCAGGGAUGACCAGUUCAGGCACCAUGCAGGUGACCCGAUCCUCUUCCCACGCCGCUACUAUUGA
rnacentral:rRNA from 1 species